GGGCAUUUGGUUUAGUGGUAUGAUUCUUGUUUUGGUUGUGAGAGGUCCUGAUAUUGAUUCUCAGAGUGCCUC
rnacentral:tRNA from 1 species